UCCCGUUCGAUGUGGACGCGCUGUUCCCGGAGCGGAUCACGGUGCUGGACCAGCACCUGAGGCCACCAGCCCGCCGACCCGGAACCACAACGCCAGCCCGUGUUGAUCUACAGCAGCAAAUUAUGACCAUUAUAGAUGAACUGGGCAAGGCUUCUGCCAAGGCCCAGAAUCUUUCCGCUCCCAUCACUAGUGCAUCAAGGAUGCAGAGUAACCGCCAUGUUGUUUAUAUUCUCAAAGACAGUUCAGCCCGACCGGCUGGAAAAGGAGCCAUUAUUGGUUUCAUCAAAGUUGGAUACAAGAAGCUCUUUGUACUGGAUGAUCGUGAGGCUCAUAAUGAGGUAGAACCACUUUGCAUCCUGGACUUUUACAUCCAUGAGUCUGUGCAACGCCAUGGCCAUGGGCGAGAACUCUUCCAGUAUAUGUUGCAGAAGGAGCGAGUGGAACCGCACCAACUGGCGAUUGACCGACCCUCACAGAAGCUGCUGAAAUUCCUGAAUAAGCACUACAAUCUGGAGACCACAGUCCCACAGGUGAACAACUUUGUGAUCUUUGAAGGCUUCUUUGCCCAUCAACAUCGGCCCCCUGCUCCCUCUCUGAGGGCAACUCGACACUCUCGUGCUGCUGCAGUCGAUCCCACGCCCGCUGCUCCAUCAAGGAAGCUGCCACCCAAGAGAGCAGAGGGAGACAUCAAGCCAUACUCCUCUAGUGACCGAGAAUGGGGACUCCCCCAGGUCUGGUAGCCCAAAGCUGCUGCUACAGCCGCCAUGGGGGGGUGAAUUCCUCAUCCCCCAAUAUAGGCAACCAAGACUCCAAGCAGGGAGAACAGGAAACAAAGAAUAGGUCUGCCAGUGAGGAGCAGGCCUUGUCACAGGAUGGGUCUGGGGAGAAGCCCAUGCACACAGCUCCUCCACAGUCCCCGACCCCGGCCCCGGCCCCACCAGCCCAGUCCUGGACAGUGGGUGGGGACAUACUCAACGCCAGGUUCAUUCGAAACCUGCAGGAACGUCGCAGCACCAGGCCUUGGUGACCGCAUCUUCAAAGUAUUAUUUCUCCCUCACUACAGGAAAGAGCCAAAGCUCAACCCUCAUAAUAGAUGGAUACAUUCAUUCAUUCAUUCAUUCAUUCGUUCAGCAGGCUUAUCAGAUUUAAGUCAUUUGUAUCUUUUAACCAGACCAAUAAAAGUAUUUAUUUUUAUCACAAGA
rnacentral:sRNA from 1 species